GGGGGUGAAAGGUUCUCGAUCCGGCUAGUUCAUUCUAAGAGUGGCAUGUAGAGGUUGUCGGGAGGCCUCUUUAAACACCUGGCACAAUACAAACGCAAACGACACAUAUAGUGCCGUUGCUGAGGCGGAAGAAAUACUCUGCACCAGCGCGUUGGACACAGUCCCUGCUUAGCAGGGGCGACUCCCUUAGCUAGUUUCCUGGGAAGCUAAGAGCGAGUACAUAAAGCAGGAUAGCCUAACCGCCUUGUCUCUGGGCGAUAGGUGAACGCUUAAGAGGCUAUUACGUCAGUAUCCUUUCUGCCGGAGCCUGACGUAGGAUAAUAAAUGGUAGGAUAAACAUGUAGAAGCUUUUGGUUGACUUCCGGGGACCCGAGUUCGAAUCUCGGCACCUCCACCA
rnacentral:tmRNA from 1 species